GGCCAGUUAGCUCAGGCAGUUGAGCGUAGCACUAACAACGCUAAGGUCGCAGGUUCGAUUCCCGUUCAGUCCC
rfam:Apaloderma vittatum contig65486, whole genome shotgun sequence.